rnacentral:rRNA from 1 species
CCUACGGGAGGCUGCAGUGGGGAAUAUUGCACAAUGGGCGCAAGCCUGAUGCAGCCAUGCCGCGUGUGUGAAGAAGGCCUUCGGGUUGUAAAGCACUUUCAGCGGGGAGGAAGGCGUUAAGGUUAAUAACCUUGGCGAUUGACGUUACCCGCAGAAGAAGCACCGGCUAACUCCGUGCCAGCAGCCGCGGUAACACGGAGGGUGCAAGCGUUAAUCGGAAUUACUGGGCGUAAAGCGCACGCAGGCGGUCUGUCAAGUCGGAUGUGAAAUCCCCGGGCUCAACCUGGGAACUGCAUUCGAAACUGGCAGGCUAGAGGCUUGUAGAGGGGGGUAGAAUUCCAGGUGUAGCGGUGAAAUGCGUAGAGAUCUGGAGGAAUACCGGUGGCGAAGGCGGCCCCCUGGACAAAGACUGACACUCAGGUGCGAAAGCGUGGGGAGCAAACAGGAUUAGAUACCCGUGUAGUC